CAUCCGGGGAAGAGUAUUAUUCUCAUAGCAAAUGUUCUUGACCCCUGAUAAAAAAAAAUUCUAAGAUUGAAGAAUACAUUUGUAUGUAAGAUAUACCGUUUGGAGAAAUUGAUGUGUCUUGUUUUGGUUCCGGUCUAACAAAUGAUGAUCGGAUCAUGAACUCAUAGUUAAGCUAGACCCAAAAUCAAGUUUAAUUUUAAUAGCUUUGUAUUAGUUUUGAAAUUCUACCUUUUGGCUCCUUUUCAUUGA